UACAGAGGGUGCGAACGUUGCUCGGAAUUACUGGGAGUAAAGCGCGUGUAGGCGGAUCGGCAAGUCAGGCGUGAAAUCCCCAGGCUCAACCUGGGAACUGCACUUGAAACUGCCGACCUUGAGUAUCGGAGAGGGUGGCGGAAUUCCUGGUGUAGAGGUGAAAUUCGUAGAUAUCAGGAGGAACACCGGUGGCGAAGGCGGCCACCUGGACGAUUACUGACGCUGAGACGCGAAAGCGUGGGGAGCAAACAGG
rnacentral:rRNA from 1 species